rnacentral:rRNA from 1 species
UACGUAGGUGGCAAGCGUUGUCCGGAUUUACUGGGCGUAAAGAGCGCGCAGGCGGUUGGAUAAGUCGAAUGUGAAAGCCCCCGGCUCAACUGGGGAGGGUCAUUCGAUACUGUCCGACUCGAAGGCAGGAGAGGGAAGCGGAAUUCCCGGUGUAGUGGUGAAAUUCGUAGAUAUCAGGAGGGACACCAGUGGCGAAGGCGGCUUCCUGGACAACAACUGACGCUGAGACGCGAAAGCGUGGGGAGCAAACAGG